UUGGGAUGGAUUUCAACGCUGCAAAAUCAAAAUCAAUGAUAAUCCAUGCUUUUCCAUUCAACUCAGAGAAAAAGCGAGGGGGUGUUGCUGUGAAACUGGUAAUUGGAGCAAUCAGUUCGGAUGUUAUAUAUUGUUUAAUGAUAAUCCAUGCUUUUCCAUUCAACUCAGAGAAAAAGCGAGGUGGUGUUGCUGUGAAAUUAGUAAUUGGAGAAAUCAGUUCUGAUGUUAUAUAUUGUUUACAUCUUUCUCUUUCUACUUGAUAAUACUUAUAUAAAUGAAAUAUUGGUGGGCAUAGGGGGGAAGAAAAGAAAGAAUUUAUUUUUUAUUUUUUUCUUAUUUUGAAGAUAUCAUUUUAAGUGAUUAGAUGAUAAACA
rnacentral:lncRNA from 1 species